CGUGCGUCGCUAGGUGGCGCUGGCAUGCAGAUGCUAAUUUUGGUUCAGUGGCAGACGAUCACUCCAAGCUACGCAACGUGAACUGACAAUUACCUUUAUAGAUUAAAAAAUCAGACUAACACAUCAACAAGGGCAAUGUUGGAGGCGUUUUCGCUUGACGAGGCUGUGGAGGAUGUGGAUCCUGAUCGUGUACUAGAGAUGGUUUCAUCGUGCAGCAUUCAUAGCCAGGAGCCGCCGCUCAGUCCAGAGCAGGUGCGCACAGUCUUUCAUAAGGUAGUAGAUGGGUUGCUGCGUAAACCGAAGGAUGUUCAACGAGGUGCUCAGAUGGUGUAUCUCUUACGCAAUAUGGGUGCAUAUAUCAAUCAACAAGAUCAGGCAGGCUGCACACCUCUACUUCGUUAUCUGCAGAGGAACAUAGCACAUCAAGAUGUUGUGGAGGCAUUUCUGCGCUGCAAUGCGGAUGUUUACAUUACAGAUAAGGAUGGGGUGUACCCACUUGAAAUAGUUACCAGUUCUCCUUCAGUAUCACCAGCUGUACGAGAUGUCUUCAUGAAAUAUGUGCCAGGCAUUUGGGAGGCUGUUGAAGGGGAUGAUGCCAUGAACGUCAGGAAGCUGAUCAAUGAGUGGUGCCGAGUUGAUGUCCAGAAGAAUGGACAAACACUGCUACAGCUUGCUCUUGACACUGGCACAGAGAGUAUUAUCAGAGUUGUCAGUGGCAUCCGACCAUCCAUGGAAUUUGCGCAUUGUGUGCUAUCAGGAGAUGUGGCAACUGCUAAGAAAAUGCUUCGCCUUUCCCAAAAAUUGAAGAUAAAUAUUAACUUCAGAAACAUGGGAGACAGGGGGUCCACACCGCUGUAUUAUGCACUUCGCCAAGGCAAUAGAGCAAUGGUGGAGAUGCUGCUUGAAUUUGGUGCACGCAUUGAUAUUACAAUGAAAGGUGAUGCAGAGUGUGACAUACCACUCUACAUAGCAGCACUUCAGGCAAGGCCUCCUAUUCCUGCUUCUCUGAUAAAAACUAUCACACCAAAUGGUCCUGUGACAGUUGAUUCUCUUUUCUACAAAGGUCAAAAUGUCCUAUUUCACUGUGUGAACAAUGACGUACACGAAACUGUGAUAGACUACAUUUUAUUCAAGGGCUCAGCCUACCUUGUCACUCAGCGAGUUGAGAACAAUCUGUGUGCACGAGACUAUGCAGAGCUUCAUGACUGCAAGAAAGUAGUGCAGGCCAUAGACUGUGCGGUAUUGAGGUGGAUGUUUCAAGAGUUGGCAUCAACAGAGAAAUUCUUAUCUUGCAGGGUUAUGAUCAUAUACCUACAGCAGUAAAGUGUUUGAAUGAAGAUUCUGAUGGAAUAAAUGAUCCAUUUUAUAAAUACCUCCCUUUGUAUCAAGAACAAAUAAUGCAGAUACAUGAAGCUGUUGAAAACUGUGAUGUAGAGACACUACGGCAAAUUUUAUACUUCCGUCACA